AAUGUAGUCUUUAAAGAGUCUUUGUUUAUGGGGAGAUUUCUCCCAAUAAGUUUUAGGAUUUUCAAUUUUAUUUUUAAUAUGUAGGCCGUUUGGCCAAACCAUAUCCAAUAAUAUAUUUUUAGUUUAAUUUUUCAUAUGUCGUCUGAUUUAUCGUCUUAUGGUUUGCAAACUAAAAGCUUCCGCAUGAUGCUCUCUUGAUUUCGAACUAAACAAGUGGUAUCAGAGCCUACGGUUCAAAGAUUCAGUGGUUCGAUAAAACGUGGUUGAAGAGAAGUUAAAGGCGGUUCAAAUCAAUUUGCAUCCAAUUUGAUGAUAAUGAGGAUUUUUGUCCAAAAACUACAUGUGGAGACGAUUGUCAAUCAUAUUUUCAACAAUCCUACCGUCAUAUAUUUGAAAAUAAAGCUCACUUUUAAUCCUGCAAAAGAGCUCCAAUAUUUUUAACCCAAAAAGGGCUAAUAUAUUUUUUAACCCCAAAAGCUCCAUUUUUAUACAUGCCAAACAACAGUGGUAUAUGAAGAAUAUAUAUGAAGAACGAAGAUCAUGCACAAGAGGAAGGGGGAUCAAGAAUAUUUUGAAGAAAAUCAAGCCAAAAAGGAGAAAUUUGUUAGGGUUUUUGUCCUGAUUUUCUUACUAUAUUUAAGUUUUAUUUUUUUUUUAGAAAGAAAAUUAAAAGUUACUAUAAUUACUUUUACUUUUCCUGAAAAAAAAAUAUAAUUCUUUUUCAUAUUUCGCUAACCUCUUUCUUGAAGGAAAGGUUUUGAACAUCUGUAAAUACAAUAGCCCUUCUCAUACCAUAACACAAUAGCAUCCAUAAUGUAGUCUUUAAAGAGUUUUUGUUUAGGGGGAGAUUUCUCCCAAUAAGUUUUAGGAUUUUCAAUUUUAUUUUUAAUAUGUAAGCUGUUUGACCAAAC
rnacentral:lncRNA from 1 species